rnacentral:rRNA from 1 species
UACAGAGGGGGCAAGCGUUGUUCGGAAUUACUGGGCGUAAAGGGCGCGUAGGCGGCCUGUUAAGUCGAACGUGAAAUCCCCGGGCUCAACCUGGGAACUGCAUCUGUGACUGCAUCGCUGGAGUGCGGCAGAGGGGGAUGGAAUUCCGCGUGUAGCAGUGAAAUGCGUAGAUAUGCGGAGGAACACCGAUGGCGAAGGCAAUCCCCUGGGCCUGCACUGACGCUCAUGCACGAAAGCGUGGGGAGCAAACAGG